AAUCAACGCUGGCGGCGUGCCUAACACAUGCAAGUCGAACGCGAAAGUCCCGCAAGGGAUGAGUAGAGUGGCAAACGGGUGAGUAACGCGUGGGUGACCUGCCUUCGAGUGGGGGAUAACGUUCCGAAAGGGACGCUAAUACCGCAUGACAUCCUGCCUUUGAAGAGGCGGAGAUCAAAGCCGGGGAUCGCAAGACCUGGCGCUUGACGAGGGGCCCGCGUCUGAUUAGCAGUUGGUGGGGUAAUGGCUCACCAAGGCAACGAUCAGUAUCCGGCCUGGGAGGGCGGACGGACACACUGGGACUGAGGCACGGCCCAGACUCCUACGGGAGGCAGCAGUGGGGAAUUGUUCGCAAUGGGCGCAAGCCUGACGACGCAACGCCGCGUGGAGGAUGAAGACCUUC
rnacentral:rRNA from 1 species